rnacentral:antisense_RNA from 2 species
UUUUUUGGCGGCUCGGGCGGGGAGCCGCGAGGCUCGCCGGUUCGCGCAAGCGGGUUCCCGGUAGUCCAACCCGUUCGAGUCGCCGCCUCC